UUUUGCAAGACAGAAUGACAUCCCUUUUGAGGGAGAAAAGAUCUCUGACACCCCCUGCCCACAGCAUGGUCAUCGUUUUAUACCUGAGUCGAAAGUACCAGAUACGGGGACACUGGUACCCACCUGAGCUGCAAGCCCGCACCUGCGUGGAUGAGUACUUGGCGUGGAAGCAUGUCACCAUCGCCCCGGCUGGCAGUGUGGCAGGCCCGUGUGGCGGCUGCCCUUGGUACUGAGCUCUUGCUGGAGGCCCACAAGCUCAUACUCCAG
rnacentral:lncRNA from 1 species